CAUCUUUCAUUUGACAGGAACAGUCACAGAACCUGUUGACCCACAUCACAUCGGUAUUUGCUGAACUGCGCCAGAUUCUCAAUGAGGAAGAGCAGCGCUUUCACAAGGAACUCCGGGAAGAAGAGGAGAGCGUUCUAAACCCAAUGGAGAAUAAUCUACGAGAGAUUCAAGAGAAGUUAAACUCUAUUCAAGAGCAACUCCUAAAGCUGCAGGAGCGGAUGAAUCAAAUGGACAGUUUGAUAUUUCUGAAGGAGGAAACUCGUCAGAAGAGGAGGGUGAGUGAUGAAGAACGGAUGCUGUUGGUAGCAGACGGUGCCUUGGCAAUUGGAAAGUUCGAUCACCCAUUUUUGUUGAGCAA